UACGGAGGGUGCGAGCGUUGUCCGGAUUUAUUGGGUUUAAAGGGUGCGUAGGCGGCCAGUUAAGUCCGGGGUGAAAGCCCGCUGCUCAACAGCGGAACUGCCCUGGAUACUGCCUGGCUUGAGUACAGACGAGGUUGGCGGAAUGGACUGAGUAGCGGUGAAAUGCUUAGAUAUCGUCAAGAACACCGAUAGCGAAGGCAGCUUACUAGACUGUAACUGACGCUGAUGCACGAAAGUGUGGGGAUCAAACAGG
rnacentral:rRNA from 1 species